rnacentral:rRNA from 1 species
GAUGAACGCUGGCGGCGUGCCUAAUACAUGCAAGUCGAGCGAAAAGACGAGGAGCUUGCUCCUCUGACGUUAGCGGCGGACGGGUGAGUAACACGUGGAUAACCUACCUAUAAGACUGGGAUAACUUCGGGAAACCGGAGCUAAUACCGGAUAAUAUAUUGAACCGCAUGGUUCAAUAGUGAAAGACGGUUUUGCUGUCACUUAUAGAUGGAUCCGCGCCGCAUUAGCUAGUUGGUAAGGUAACGGCUUACCAAGGCAACGAUGCGUAGCCGACCUGAGAGGGUGAUCGGCCACACUGGAACUGAGACACGGUCCAGACUCCUACGGUAGGCAGCAGUAGGGAAUCUUCCGCAAAGGGCGAAAGCCUGACGGAGCAACGCCGCGUGAGUGAUGAAGGUCUUCGGAUCGUAAAACUCUGUUAUUAGGGAAGAACAAAUGUGUAAGUAACUAUGCACGUCUUGACGGUACCUAAUCAGAAAGCCACGGCUAACUACGUG